UACAUUCCUUUUUAUAUUUUCAUUAUAGUUUACUACAUGAUCUUGAAUAUAGUUCCCUGUGCUCUACAGUAGAAACUUGUUUAUCUGUUUUAUAUAUAGUAGUUAGUAUCUGCAAAUCUUGAACUCCCAAUUUAUCCCUUCCCAUCCCCAUUCCCUACCUCCUUCCCCUCCCCCCAUAACCAUAAGUCUGUUUUCUAUGUCUGUGAGUCAUAGACACACUCCCUUUUGAGGAGACAGAUUCCUUUCUGAGGAGGACGGAGACCUAUCCAAAGCACCCACCCAGGAAGAGGCAGGUAAAGUUCAGAAACAACGUUUGCCCAGCGGUGAAAAGCAAGAAGAUAAAAUUCCUGCAUUUGCUGAAACAAGCCAGAGAAUGACAUGACUCAAUCUGGACAAAUAACCAAGACCUCAAACAGCAAGACUAAAGACAACACACCACUGCUGUUUUGUACCAAUAGCAGUAUUUUCAGUGAAUCCACUGUAAGAGAUUAAGAUCUGGAAAGAAAUGGGUAGCUCACAUGGAGAAUAACUCAAGAGGCAAGACUAACAGAGUGACUUCGGAAAAGCACUGAGGAAGGAAAAGCCAAAUUAAAGACAGCUGUAAAACCCUGGACAUUCGCGACCACUGUCGGCUGGCAGGUUACCUGUCUCCAUGGGAAUGCUCUCGUCCUCCUUCUUCUCUUCCGGCUUACUGGCCGCCUGCUCGUCCGCGGGGACAAUGCCGCUCUGGCUGCGUUCAGCUUGCUCUGCUGCCUCCCUCUCCCUUUCCUCCUGUCUUUUGC